CCUACGGGUGGCAGCAGUGGGGAAUAUUGCACAAUGGGGGAAACCCUGAUGCAGCAACGCCGCGUGGAGGAUGACACAUUUCGGUGCGUAAACUCCUUUUAUAUAGGAAGAUAAUGACGGUACUAUAUGAAUAAGCGCCGGCUAACUCCGUGCCAGCAGCCGCGGUAAUACGGAGGGCGCAAGCGUUACUCGGAAUCACUGGGCGUAAAGAGCGUGUAGGCGGAUAAAUAAGUCAGAAGUGAAAUCCAAUAGCUCAACUAUUGAACUGCUUUUGAAACUGUUUAUCUAGAGUAUGGGAGAGGUAGAUGGAAUUUCUGGUGUAGGGGUAAAAUCCGUAGAGAUCAGAAGGAAUACCGAUUGCGAAGGCGAUCUACUGGAACAUAACUGACGCUGAGACGCGAAAGCGUGGGGAGCAAACAGGAUUAGAUACCCGAGUAGUC
rnacentral:rRNA from 1 species